AAAUACUACCCAGUGACCGAUAGCGUAUAGUACUGUGAAGGAAAGGUGAAAAGCACCCCGGGAGGGGAGUGAAAUAGAACCUGAAACCCUGUGCCUACAAGCACCUAGAGCACGUCAAAGUGUGAUAGGGUACUUUUUGUAGAACGGUCCGGCGAGCGAUUGUAUGCAGCAAGGUUAAGGACUUAAGGUCUGGAGCCGAAGCGAAAGCGAGUUUGAAAAGGGCGUUAAGUUGCAUAUAAUGGGCCCGAAACCGGGUGACCUACCCAUGGUCAGGUUGAAGUGGAAGUAAAAUUCCAUGGAGGACCGAACCGACCUCCGUUGAAAAGGCGGCGGAUGAACUGUGGGUAGCGGAGAAAUUCCAAUCGAACCCGGAGAUAGCUGGUUCUCCCCGAAAUAGUUUUAGGACUAGCCUCAAGUUAGAUACCUGGAGGUAAAGCACUGAAUAGCCUAGCGGCCGAGAGGUUAGCGAAGCUUAUCAAACUCAGAAUGCCAGAGUAUUGAUGCUUGGGAGUCAGACAGUGUCAGAUAAAUGUCAUUGUCAAAAGGGAAACAGCCCAGAUCUACAGCUAAGGUCCCAAAGUCAGGUUAAGUGGAAAACGAUGUGAAGAUACGCAGACAACCAGGAUGUUGGCUCAGAAGCAGCCACUCAUUCAAAGAGUGCGUAAUAGCUCACUGGUCGAGCGUCUUUGCGCGGAGAAUUUAACGGGGCUAAACCUGACACCGAAGCUUAGGCAAUGUAGUAAUACAUUGGGUAGGGGAGCGUUGUAUACGCGGAGAAACAGUAGCGUAAGCGGCUGUGGAGUGUAUAGAAGUGAGAAUGCCGGAAUGAGUAGCGCGAAUGCAGUGAGAAUCUGCAUGGCCGAAAGCCUCAGGUUUCUGGAGGAAGGUUCGUCCGCUCCAGGUUAGUCGGGAGCUAAGGUGAGGCCGGAAGGCGUAGCCGAUGCACAGACGGUAGAGAUUCCGUCACCACCAAAAGAGUUAAGCACAGGGACACAUUUGAAGUCUCAGAGCCGGGUGUUGGUUCCGGUAGAGAUCGAGGGAAAUUAGUACCGAAGUCUGAGAUGGAAGAUGGCGAGAAAAGCUGUGUGUAUUUCUGAGGUGCCCGUACCGCAAACCGACACAGGUAGGUAGGAAGAAGAUUCUAAGGCCAACGGGAGAAGGGUUGUUAAGGAACUCGGCAAAUUGACCCCGUAACUUCGGGAGAAGGGGUGCUCCAGAGAUGGAGCCGCAGAGAAUCGGCCCAAGCAACUGUUUACCAAAAACACAGGUUUGUGCUAAAUCGAAAGAUGACGUAUACGAGCUGACGCCUGCCCGGUGCUGGAAGGUUAAGAGGAGAUGUGCAAGCAUUGAAUCGAAGCCCCAGUGAACGGCGGCCGUAACUAUAACGGUCCUAAGGUAGCGAAAUUCCUUGUCAGGUAAGUUCUGACCCGCAUGAAAGGCGUAAUGAUUUGGGCACUGUCUCAACAGCCCGCCCGGCGAAAUUGUAGUACCGGUGAAGAUGCCGGUUACCCGCGACAAGACGGAAAGACCCCAUGGAGCUUUACUGUAGCCUAAUAUUGGGUUUCGAUGUUGCAUGCACAGGAUAGAUGGGACUCUGGGAAACCAAGGCUUUGGCUUUGGCGGAGAGGCCGUUGGGAUACCAUCCUUGCGAUAUUGGAAUUCUAACCUGCGGCUCUGAAUCGAGUCGGGGGACAUUGUUAGGUGGGCAGUUUGACUGGGGCGGUCGCCUCCUAAAGAGUAACGGAGGCGUUCAAAGGUUCGCUCAGCUUGAACGGAAAUCAAGCAAAAGAGUGCAAACGCAGAAGCGAGCCUAACUGCGAGACUGACGGGUCGAGCAGUAACGAAAGUUGGAGUUAGUGAUCCGGUGGUAUGUGAGUGGAAAUGCCAUCGCUCAACGGAUAAAAGUUACCCUGGGGAUAACAGGCUGAUCUCCCCCAAGAGUCCACAUCGACGGGGAGGUUUGGCACCUCGAUGUCGGCUCAUCGCAUCCUGGGGCUGUAUUCGGUCCCAAGGGUUUGGCUGUUCGCCAAUUAAAGCGGUACGCGAGCUGGGUU
rnacentral:rRNA from 1 species